UUCUGGCGUCAGGACGAACGCUGGCGGCGUGCCUAACACAUGCAAGUCGAACGGACGAGAGGUAGCUUGCUCCUCAAGUAGUGGCGACGGGUGAGUAACACGUGAGCAACCUGCCUUCGAGGGGACAACAGCUGGAAACGGCUGCUAAUACCGCAUGACACAGCGGGAGGCAUCUCCCUGCUGUCAAAGAUUUUAUCGCCGAAGGAUGGGCUCGCGUACUGAUUAGAUAGUUGGUGAGGUAACGGCCCACCAAGUCAACGAUCAGUAGCCGGACUGAGAGGUUGAACGGCCACAUUGGGACUGAGAUACGGCCCAGACUCCUACGGGAGGCAGCAGUGGGGAAUAUUGGGCAAUGGGGGGCAACCCUGACCCAGCAACGCCGCGUGAAGGAAGAAGGCUUUCGGGUUGUAAACUUCUUUGACGAGGGACGAUAGUGACGGUACCUCGAAAACAAGCCACGGCUAACUACGUGCCAGCCGCUGC
rnacentral:rRNA from 1 species